rnacentral:lncRNA from 1 species
GUCUUCUUUUUUCUCAAAUCUUCAUUUUUCAGCCCCAAAAAAGGCCAAAUAAAAAACCAUCAUAACCGUCGAAUUGAAAAUAAAAUAAAAAUCCUGAGCGCAAAAAAAAAAAACCUGACGAAAAAGAAAAAACCAGAGCGCAAAAAAAUAAUCCAUCUUCACCCAUGGAGGGCUCCGCGCAGACUGAGCUCUGCAGGGCGGGGGAAGGCUUAUAAAGCCUUGCCA